rnacentral:lncRNA from 1 species
UGGUUCGACGAAAUCCGGUGAAGGUGUAAAUCGGGCUUUUUGAGGUAUUGUAGGGUUGUUGUUGGUUUUUGGAAGAAAAGGGACUAAUUUUUCCAUAAAGAAGAGUUUCUUUUUUCUUCAUCCAUUCCCCUUAGUGACAAUCCCCUCUUCUUUCUAUCAAAUGCCUCCAAGAAUAUCAAGAAGCAGAGUGGAGUUUUCCUGAGAGGUGGGGACGUGUGUCCUCACAUCAGUGGUGUCAAAAUUCAAAAUAACAUCGCCUCCCCAACCAUCAUGCGCCACUUGUAUCGAGUGAGUGAAGGAAUAAAAUCCUAUUGUUUUCGAUUUUCC